rnacentral:snRNA from 1 species
GGAUGUGAGGGUGAUCUGGCUGGUUAAGUGGGUGUUCCCUUUCUCCUUUAUUGCUCCAUGUGUGUCCCUCCAGAAGCUGUGAGCUUUGUCCAAGAGGUCAGCCUUCCCAGAACAAAGACAAACCAGGACUGGUCUUUGGGUAUAUGAGCAGCUGCACUUCCCUGCAAGAACCUCCAAACAAGAAAUGACUUUGGCAUGAGGGAGCUUCACAAGUGGUGAAGCAAGGUACUACAGGUGUUUCUUUGUGUCACUCU